UACGUAGGGUGCGAGCGUUAAUCGGAAUUACUGGGCGUAAAGCGUGCGUAGGCGGUUCGUUAAGUCAGCUGUGAAAGCCCCGGGCUCAACCUGGGAAUUGCGGUUGAAACCUGGCGGACUAGAAUCUGGCAGAGGGGGGUGGAAUUCCACGUGUAGCAGGUGAAAUGCGUAGAGAUGUGGAGGAACACCAAUUGCGAAGGCAGCUCGCUGGGACGUGACUGACGCUGAGACGCGAAAGCGUGGGGAGCAAACAGG
rnacentral:rRNA from 1 species